AAGAGGUUGAGAAUCCGGGAUAUUGGGCGUAAGAGCUCGUAGGCGGUUUGUCGCGUCUGUCGUGAAAGUCCGGGGCUUAACCCCGGAUCUGCGGUGGGUACGGGCAGACUAGAGUGCAGUAGGGGAGACUGGAAUUCCUGGUGUAGCGGUGGAAUGCGCAGAUAUCAGGAGGAACACCGAUGGCGAAGGCAGGUCUCUGGGCUGUAACUGACGCUGAGGAGCGAAAGCAUGGGGAGCGAACAGGAUUAGAUACCCUGGUAGUCCAUGCCGUAAACGUUGGGCACUAGGUGUGGGGACCAUUCCACGGUUUCCGCGCCGCAGCUAACGCAUUAAGUGCCCCGCCUGGGGAGUACGGCCGCAAGGCUAAAACUCAAAGGAAUUGACGGGGGCCCGCACAAGCGGCGGAGCAUGCGGAUUAAUUCGAUGCAACGCGAAGAACCUUACCAAGGCUUGACAUGUUCUCGAUCGCCGUAGAGAUACGGUUUCCCCUUUGGGGUGGGUUCACAGGUGGUGCAUGGUUGUCGUCAGCUCGUGUCGUGAGAUGUUGGGUUAAGUCCCGCAACGAGCGCAACCCUCGUUCCAUGUUGCCAGCACGUCAUGGUGGGGACUCAUGGGAGACUGCCGGGGUCAACUCGGAGGAAGGUGAGGACGACGUCAAAUCAUCAUGCCCCUUAUGUCUUGGGCUUCACGCAUGCUACAAUGGCCGGUACAAUGGGUUGCGAUACUGUGAGGUGGAGCUAAUCCCCAAAAAAGCCCGGUC
rnacentral:rRNA from 1 species